GUCUCCUCGGCUGCUGUGAUGGACGCCACCUGCUUAUGUGUGUCAUAACUAUAAAUGUCAGCCAGUAAGUAGCUACUGGACGUGUGUGAGGUGUGUGUUUCGCCAACACAAAUGUGCUAUUGGAAGUGGAAGGUAACAUCAGAAGCACAAUGACAGGAAGGAGGCUUUUCCCCACCUGAUGUCUUUCAGGAGGACGCAAACAACCCGGAUCGUGCAGCAAGGAGGAUGAUUGUCGGCCAAAGCGGAAAGGAAGCCACUACUGAAGCAGACCGCUUAUAAAGAUGGAGACAUGACAGCUCUAUGGACGUAUAAAGAGAACUGGAUAAAGUGUUGAAGAAGGUCUCUGCAGGGCUUGCCUGUGUGGGUGGACUCAGGGAUUCACCGUGAAAACAACCAAAAAGCCAAGGACAUUUCCUAAAGAGGAGCUCACACCAUACAGUACAGGUCACCUGCGGCCAGACAUGGAUCAAUCCCACCCGGAAUUGGGUUUCACAUCCCGGAAGCAGAGAUGUACACAUGGGUCACUUUCAUCGACUCACUGCGGCCAUGGCCAUAGGUAUCCAUCAUACAGACCAUUGACUGGUUGUGACCAUGAAGGUACAAAUUCAUCACAAAGAGAGGCUGCGGUGGACGAGGUCAGCGGAAAGCAGCGGCUACUUCUUGUCUGCAACCAUGUGGAAAUAGAGCCUUUUGAGAUGUUAUCAUUAACGGUGAUGUAAUUUCAGAAUUACAUGAAUGUCCAGAGUUACUGGCAAGCGUUUGUUACACUGAAAUUAUAUUUUACGGCAAACUUUAAAUUAAAGUU